CUGCAUUUCUCCCCAUAAGGAAGUCUGAGUCUCCUAUUGUGAAAAGUGCUUUUCGUUUUUUUAUUGAAUAAAUUUGGCCAGUAACAUUGUGUAAGUUAAGGUAUUCAGCGUGUUGCUUUGAUACAUCUAUAUGUUGUAAUAUUACUAUUGUAGCAAUAUUAUUGUCUAUAUUUACUACUCAUUCCACAUUUGUAUCCUUAAACACCAUUAGUCUUGUGCUUUCCCCUCUCUCCACCCUCCUACCUGCUUUUUCUGUUUACAUUGGAAUGUUAGAAUAUUCCUUAGAGGACAAACUCUUCUGUUUUUUUAGAGGAAAAACUCUUCAUGGUAAUUUACUUCAAAAGCCUUCUGAAAGGUGUCACGGCUUCUGUCCUUGGCUCCCUACACCUGUUUAUAAAAGCAGCAAAAGUGAUCCUGUGAGACUAAACAAAUCACGUUGGUUCUCUGCUCAGAACCUUUCAUUGUUUCCCCAUCCCACUCAGCUCAGUCCCAGGUUCUUAGUCCUGCGAGGCCCUAUGUGAUCCUGCGUUCCUCCCCGUUAUUUAUGCGACCUCAUCUCCUCCUGCUGCUCUGUCUUAGGGUUCAUCCACUGCCUGUUUUCUCUGCAUGGAGCAGUCAGGCCUACGCUGACCGAUCAGCUACCGCCAUCACCACCGACCCCUAACGGCAGUAGACACCCCCCCAACAUCAGAACAGUGUUUGAUGUGUUAUAGACAUUCGUUGAUAAACAUUCUGCUGAAUACCUCAGUGAAUGUAGGAUCUCGUGAAGUUUAUUUUCCCGUUACAUUUUCUGAUAAGUUAUAACCACCCAGAAAUAUGAAGUAAAAUACCUGCCCCCAAAAGCAUUUCUUCCAGCCCACAUUUUUCCAUACAAAUCUUUUUGGUAUUUCCAACAUAAGUGCUUCAUAAAUCUUUAGUAUCGGAAACUGUUUUCCUUGACACUCGAGCUAUGUACUUCGUUCAUGGUUUCUUUCUGACGCUGCAGGACUCUAUCCUGUCGUUUGUCCCAUAUCCCACGUGGGCAUUUGUAUGCCUAUUCACCCACUUGCAAGGGCUCAUUUCAGAAUGUCUUUGGUAGAGCUGUUAACUGAUGGUAACGGCCAGCGUGAGUGUUGGUUCUCGUGGGGUUGGGUAGUCGGGUUUGCUCUCUGGUUGGCCCCGUCGCCUUCUGCGCCUCCCUCCUCUUUGGUCUGAGGGCCUGUGUUGUGCCCCACAGUCAUGUGUCAGGCCCCCUGGUGCGCUAGCUCGGAGCUUUUCUUUUUUUAAACCCAUCCAAUACCAGCAUAAAGUCCUUGGGGAGGUAAUAGCUUACUGGUCUUGCCCCACGGUAUUGCAUUUCUGUUGCUGCCAUGGGACUUUGAUUUAUUUCCUAUAUGGAGAUGUAUUAGGGUCCAAAUCAAAUUUAACUUUUUGACUAUAUUUCUAAAGCACAGAACAAAAACAGUGUCAUUUAGUUUUAGCAAUAGCCAUGUAGUGUAUACUAACAAAAAGCAUGCUUUUAAAAUGGAUUGUACAUUUACAGAAAUAAAUUAAUUUCUUCAAAACUAUGGUUCUUGAGGACUCCUUCCAUUGUCUAGAAAAGUUAGUGUUACACUGAAUUUAUAGAUUCAUCCUUACUUUGGUAGUCAGUGAGUAAUAAACAAACCUAUUCACACAGCAAAAAAAUAAAAUCUAACUGAUGAUAUGUAUUGGAUUUUAACAUGAAGAUCCUUUCUCGUUUUUUACUAGAGAAGCAAAAGAGAAACUGCUCUGUCCAUGACUGUGUUCAUCUUAGUUGACUAGGUUCACGUACAGGAUCCUUAAAAAAGUGACGGGCGUGAGUACCAGGUGAGACACCAGGCGGUGUCUUCCCCACCACCACCACCACCACCCUGUCCAGCAGGAGUGAUUACUCGUCUGGCAGUCCCUUAAUCCCAGUCUCGGCCCAGUGCGAGAGUUCUCCUUUGCAGGUCCAUCUAUUUCAGGAGGCUGUGUGCGGUGGGUAUUAGAGUUGAUUUGGAAUUCUGAAGGCUAGACCUUAGGCCUUUCUAUGCAUACAGUGUGUUUUCGGUUUGUUGUAGUUUAAUAAUGAUGACGUUGAAGAAUGAGUGCUUAUCCCCACUUUUAUUUUUUUGUUCACUGAUUUGGGGUCAGGGGUUUGUCAUCUAUUUAGGACAGUCAUUGGUUGGGAGCUAUCAGGCAAGGUACUUGGGGAAAUAUAUAAAUACUCAAUGGAAGAUGCUGCUUCUGUCACCUGUAACCUGGCACCUAGGAUAUAUGAAUUCCCUCACAUGUGAUGAUUUUGGACAAAGAAUUCUACUUUAGCAAGGUCCACCGUAACACACCUGUACCAUCUUAAUGUAGAAUGAUAUUUGGGUUUAAUAUAAUUCAUGCAGUUUUGUCUAAAAUUACUAAAAGGUGCAGCUUUAAUUAUUGGGUUGUCAUAUGGUAUGACACACCCCACAAAGAGACAACCUGGUCUUCAUUCUUUAUUAGAAAAGUGAGAAUGCCAACCCCUAGAGAUAAAGCCAGUGCCUUAUACAGAAUUUCUCUGGGAAGACCACCCUAAGUAUAUAUCUCAACCUCAGACUAAUAAUUCCAUGAUAACAUUCUGUUUCUUAAUCAUAAACAAGGAUCAGAAACAGGUUUGGAAGGGUAUUAUUAGCAGACAUUUUAAAAACCUGCAUUACUUUUACUAAAAUCUUGUUUUAAGAUGUUGGAGUGGAAACCCCUGUAAAUCCUGAAUCAUUUCUAUAUUUUCCACUCAUUGUUCUGUAUUUAAUAAUUA